rnacentral:rRNA from 1 species
UAAUACGGAGGAUCCAAGCGUUAUCCGGAUUUAUUGGGUUUAAAGGGUGCGUAGGCGGUUUAUUAAGUCAGGGGUGAAAGACGGCAGCUUAACUGUCGCAGUGCCUUUGAUACUGAUGAACUUGAAUAUACUAGAAGUAGGCGGAAUGUGACAAGUAGCGGUGAAAUGCAUAGAUAUGUCACAGAACACCGAUUGCGAAGGCAGCUUACUAUGGUAUUAUUGACGCUGAGGCACGAAAGCGUGGGGAUCAAACAGGAUUAGAUACCCUGGUAGUCCACGCCCUAAACGAUGAACACUCGAUGUUGGCGAUAUACGGUCAGCGUCAAAGCGAAAGCGUUAAGUGUUCCACCUGGGGAGUACGCCCGCAAGGGUG